UGUCCGCCACGUCGCUCAGCCGUGGGUAAACAGGCGGCUGUUUCCAGGCUCCCCCCGCCGCUUUCUGCCCGCACUCAUCAGCCGCUCUGCGCCGUUUCCAGGCUCCCCGCGCGCUGAGGGAGUGAACCCGCACCCCCCCCCCACACACACAGCCCUCAAUGCGCUGAGGAGGGAACGGCCGCCGGGCCCUCUCCCACGGCCCCGCCGCCACAAAGCGCCCUUUGAGGGGGAGCGGCUCCACUCCCACCCCCCAACACCCCCCCACAGCCCCCUCCUGCCUCCAAACAUUGAAAUGAGGGGCGAAGCGGGGGGUGGCGGUGACCAAAAGCGGCGUUUUUUCAGCCCAAAAAGCAGCGCCGCGCUGAGGCAGAGCGCUGAGGGAGGGGAGCGGGUUUGGUUGGGUGUUGGUUGUAGGAUUCUUUCUUUUUAUCGUUAAAAACGCACACAAACGCCGUUUCUUUUUAUAAAGCGGGGUUUGGCUGCCGUCCUUAAAAAUGGUGGCGGAGGAAAAAUAAUAAUUAAAAAUCCGAGGAAAAUAAAACCCGCCCUUCUCCUCCCCGCCUCCUCCUCCUCAGCCGCCGCCAUUUUGUGCCGCCCCGCGCUGCGCCCCCCCCACAGCCAUCCAUUUAAUUCUAUCGCCGGGAUGGUCCGCCCCCCCCUCCCAUACAGCCCUUUGGGUUGUACGCCGUUUAAUUUACUCAAAAAAUAUAUAUAUUUCCUUUUUUUCCUUAUUUUUUUCUCCAUUUUAAUUCCAAUUUUCCCCCGUUCUUCGUUACUGACUUUUUCCCCGUUCCUUUUUUCCCCUUUUUUCCUUCUUUUUCCUUCCCCCCUCCUUUAUUAUCCUAUAAUCGCCCUUUACUCCCCUCAAUGGAAGCAGAGGGGAGCAGGCAGGACGCAGCGCUGAGCCCCCCCAGCACACAGUGCCAAAUGAUGAGUCAAACACCCGUGCUGGCGCAGGGAUGCUCUGAGCUGAACGUGAGUCCCGGGGCUGUGAUUUGUGCCUGCCAGCCCUAACCAGAACUGGGCUGCGAGGUGAGGAGAAGGCAGCGUCAGCUUUUGGAGGGCCAGAUGUGGUGUUUUAGCAGUGAAAUGCAUGGGAAAUACCCUGAACCCACACCUCGCUCUGUGGGUCUGACACAGCCUGUCCCCCAAAAAUACCCCAAAGCAAUAAGCACUGACCUGCCCACGGGGAAAGGGGCUGAACCCACAGCUGCCACCCAGCUCAGGUGUCACACAGGUGGGGAUGGAACACCCAGCAAACCAAUGUCCUCAGUGGGCAAGGCAGUGACCACGGGGGGCUGAUUGCCCUGAGCUGAGCCCAUCGUUGGUAUCCCUACAUGGCCAUGCAUUGGGCCACUGGGACCAGAAGCCAAAUUACAAGAAACCUUUGGUAAAAGCACACUGCAAAGGCAUUCCCCACACACAGGAGGUCUUAUGCUUCCCUUAUCCCUCUGGGCACCCACUAAAGCACCGCAGUGACUCACACCGGGUACCAAAAUGGUGCUAAAGCAACACCUGUCGGGGCAGAAACCACCUCACCCCAAACCCCACAGGUGCCAUGGGCUGCAGGAGGGUCCCCAUAUCCAAUGCAACCCCCCGUGGCUCUCUUAGGGCUGUUCCCCCCCCCCCACACACACACAGCCCCGCAGCUCCUCCAGCAGAGCCCCUGUGCCCAACAAAGCCUUCCAGCCAGCAGCGCCCGGCUCCUAAUUACGAUUUCCUUCAAGACGAUCCCAGCAGCCGUAGACAAAACCGUCCCCUCCGGUCGGAGCUGGAAUGCCGUGUCCUAACGACGGCUUUUGUACCGCGCCCGCUGGAGGAAAGAGCGCGGCAGGAGGGGGGGAAAGGGAGAUUUAAUUAUAGAGCCGCAUUGUGAUUUCGCACACAUAGCUGGCUGCUGUAAUCAGGUUACAAGUGUAGCUCAUUUUCCUCCCUACCCUCCCUCUUCCUCCUCUUUUUCUUUCUGGUUUUUCCCCUCUCCUUUUUUUCCUCUCGGUGGUCCGACGCGCUCCAUGAGCUCCAUGUACCUCAGAGCCGCACAGCACAUAGACCCACAGCCCCAAACCACCCCCCGGGUGAAGAGGAGGAGCCCCUUUUCCCCUCUCUUGGGGCUGGAGGAGGAAAACCAGAAAGGAAAACAGCUUUUAAACACAACUUGGUGUGUUUGCUUUUCUAUCCAGGCAAAGCUGGAGCUGCGCUCCGUUCGGGACCGCUCUGAGUUUCAUUUAGGAACCCUAUUGUUGUCCAUGUGAAUUCUUUGUUACGUUUCAAAUCACAGGAUUAUUUCCCCAGGGGGUAAUAUCCUGUAAUUUGAACACAAUAAUGAGAAUAAAUUACUUACUUAGAACUAA